GAACAGUUCAGGUCCCACUGCCGAUGCUGCAGUCUCAGUGCGUUAAAUAAUGUGUGCUCUAAGAGCAAAAGUGUCAGCAGAGACUCCACGCUGAAGGAGAGGUUGAAAGGAGGACUUCCAGCUCAGCCACACUUAAAAGUCCUUGGACGUAGAGUCUCAGCGUCGUGUUACCUUUCACCUUCCGGAUGGCUCCCAGGAAAGCUGCAGUGACAGUGGUCUGGGAGACCACGAGCCGGUGGGUAGUGGAACCCUGAUCUCACACCCUCUUCCUCUGGUUCAGCCACAGGACGAAUUCUACGACCAGGCCUCUCCGGACAAGAGGACCGAAGCAGACGGCAACUCGGACCCCAAUUCUGGUGAGUCU
rnacentral:lncRNA from 1 species